rnacentral:tRNA from 1 species
GCCGAGGUGGUGGAACUGGUAGACACGCGGUCUUGAGGGGGCCGUGGGCGUAAGCCUGUGUGGGUUCAAAUCCCACCCUCGGCACCA